rnacentral:lncRNA from 1 species
AGUUUCUGAUUCAGUAUCUGGGGUAGAGCCAGAGAAUUUGCAUCCCUAAUAAGCGCCCAGGUGAUGCAGAUGCUGCUCGUCUGGGGACCACACUUUGAGAACCAUCGCUCAAGAGAACCUUCCUUCCUCAGUCUAGACCUCAUCAUCCGCAGAACAAACCCCCUAUCUCCUCCCAUGGACUUUCCCUCACCGCCCAGAUAGACUCUUCCCUUUUCCCCACACAGACCUCCUCCAUUCCCUGAGAUGGAUCCUUUCCUUUCCCCGGGAUCCUCUCCAAUUGCCACCCCAGAACCCCUCCCUCACCACCACCAAGGCAGAGCCUCCAUCCAGGGCAGGUUCCCUAGGCCCAGACAGGUCCCUCGUCCACAGUGCCUCCCUUGCCCGCUGUGACAGUCUCAUCUUUGAACAGAACGAUUAUAAAGUCUAUUUGUCAAUGGAAGGACCCUCUGCUGGCCACUUGGGGAAAUGCAGCCCAGGACUGGGAAAGAAGGGUGAAACAAGACGGAGGCCGACACAGCCCUUCCCUGAGUGCCAUUUCCUUGCAAGAACAAAAAAACGAGGGGUUCUCCAAAGCUGCAGAAUGCCCAGGUUGUCUGCCCAAGAAUCUGUCUCUUUUUUCUCGAGAACUUAAACACUUCCCUCCUCCCAGUCUCAGCUGGCAGUGUUCCUUCUCCUAGAAUUUGAACUCCCACCACACCCCUCGCCUGCAUCCUUUGCAUGGAACCAGCCUCAGACCCGGCGUCCGCCCCGUUUUUCUCUGAGGCCUGUUGCCCUCCUCCUAACACAGGGCCCUCGCCACUGGAGGGUGGGACAGAAAGGUCACUGCUGGUAGGCAUUCAAAAUGCCUUAUUUCCCUUGGUCUCUUCUAUUCCAAAGGCCUCUGUCUCCACUCAUAGCCUACCUCCCUGUGGACAUACUCUGGACUCUGGAUAGCUCCAUUUAAAAAUGUCCCCUUUCUGACCACAACCGUUCCCUCCUGUCCUCUAAACUUCAGUUCCUCACUGGAACCUCCAGGGCUUUGAUUCUAACUACUACCUUCCAGUCUCCCAGGGCCUCUUGGUCCAGCCUGGACCUCCUGAUCCUUCUCCAGCUGCUUUAAUUACUCUGCUCCUUGGCCCCAGGCAAUCCAU